ACAACUGGAUUCACUUGCUAAACCCAAACCACAGUCUGCACUACCAAAAGUCACCUGAGCUAAACCGUUCACAUCACCUGCAUAAAAUCAUUCCAAGCAACACAACUCUUCACACGUCUCAAACAGGCUCAGUGCAGCAAAACACUAUGAACAAG